AGGGGGAGCUCUGAAAGGGAAAAGAGAUGAAAUGGGAGACAUUGUUUAGAAGGCAUAGACAUGGGUGAAGGCAGAAGAGAAAGUCUACCUGGUAAAGCAAGAUAAUGGAGAAGGAAAGCAGAAAUGGGGCCAAGAACUGGCAUGGAACAGCUCAUCUUAGGAGGGAAAAGGCCACGAUCUCUUCCUCCUUUGAGAUGAGAAAACCGAGACACGGAGCAGCUCAGUACCUAACCCAAGACCACACAGGUAAUAAGGCCUCAAGGGUGGAUUUUAUCCAGACAGCCUGGUUUCAGAGGCUUCAGUCCUUAGUUACUGCCUCUAUUUUCUCUAGAAUUUUCUUAGAAAGAUUGAAAAGGAAUAAAUCCCUGUUCUUCCUAGUCUAGCUUCUACCUUCUGUAAGUAUGCAUGCACUACUUGCUGUAGCUUUAGAGGCCUAUGGUUGGCAAGGUAAAGGCCUGGAACGUCAUUCCUCCCAAUCACUGGGAUUGAGGAUGCACGUAGCUGAUGUGGAGGUGAGAGGGGAGCUCAAUGGAAUCAAGAAAUGGACAGACUAUGAUGGACCUCCAAAUAUGUACUGCAAUUAUUGAGUUAAAGAUGGAAGAGCUCUACUCUGGCUGUGCUAACUCACUGUGUGAGCAUGGGCUUCAGUUCCCUCAGCUGCUCAAAGUUGGGGUGGAGUAAAACAGUCUCUAAGGUUCCUUUCCUGUGCAAGAAAAGGCUUUUCCAAUAUAUGGUGGCAUGGUUCUAGUAACCCAGGGGCAGCCCAGCCACAUCCUUAUAAGCAUAGCGGAUGGGAAGAGGGAGGGUGAUGAUUUAUCGUAUUUAUUCUUAAAGGGAUACAGGGAGAAAGUCACUGGAAAGCCGUAACAUUGUGCACCAUUACUAUACUAGAGUUUGUGUUAGGGAUACAGAGCAGGUUCUACCUCGCAAGCGUGAAGCUUUUCAUUUAAAAAAAUCUACGUAGAGGCCUCUUCGCACAAUUCCACAAUACUUUAUUUGGGACAGUAUGAUGACAGACCCUCUGCUAAACAAAUGAGGAUAUGUUAAUGAAUUGAGGAUGCGUUAGUGACAGGUAUUAGGUUCAAUCACACAUAAUUUGCUUUGAGGGAGUGCUAUGGUUUGAAUGUGUCUCCCAAAAGUUCAUCUGUUGGAAACUGAAUCUGCAGUGCAACAGUGUUGGGAGGUGCAGCCUAAUAACAGGUGAUUGGGUUAUGAGGGAGGAGUCCUCAUGAAUGGAUUAAUGUCCUUAUGGCAGGAGUGGGUUGCUAUAAGGCGAGUCCAGCCCCUGGGUGUCUCUUGGUCUCAUGUGCUGGCUUCCACCUUCCACCCUUCUGCCAUGGGAUGACCCUCGCCAGAUGCCAGCCCCACAGUCUUGGAUUUCACAACCUCCCCAGACCAUGAGCUAAAUAAAUUUCUGUUCAUUAUAAAUUA
rnacentral:lncRNA from 1 species